GGUGGAGAGCCCAGCACAGGCCCAGUGCUAAAUAAGGCCACUCCUUGUCAUUGUGGUUAGAGAAGAUAACUCCAACACCCGAGGGGGCAGCCGGGCUUAGUGUCCUUGUCCUGAGCCUGCUGAGGUGCUGUGAUGAGGCCAAGGUCACCGUCUGGACAGCAGUGCCAUCAGGACUCCACCCAGUCCCUGGGGCGUAUCUGCAGGUUCAUUGGGCCUCAACUCCAGGGAGCAGGGGCCAGGCCGAGCUCCCCAAGGCCUUGGGUGCCCCAGCCCAGGCCAGCUGCUCUGACAGAGCCCACACUUUGUAGCCAGAGGCGAGGCAGGGGCAGUGGGGGAGACCUGCCAGACAGGUGGCAUCUCAGGCCUCCGGGUUGAGUGGGACAAAGGGAUGCGCUUGAGUUCCGCCUCCCAGAGCAGCUCCUCCCCUGGCCGGGGAACGGAGGUGGACUUCGGGGCCUGAGAAUCCUUGCCAGCGGAUGGAGGCUUUGUUUGCCUCGCUGAGUCCCCAGACCAGGGGCCGGCCGGAGAGAGGGCUCUUUCCUGAGAGGCUGGACUUUCCCACAGGAACAAAGUGGGGCUUGUUAGCCGGGCAUGAAUCUUGGCGUGAGGCGGCCCAGGCCAGGCUCGGAGCUGCCAGGCGGCGGCUCCGCGAUAUCAGGCAAAUUCCGCCUUCCCCACAGCUGGGGCUGACAGCAGGAAGCCCCAGGGAGGCUCCGGACAAAAGCAGAAAAAUGGGCCACGUUUAUUCAUUCACUGACCAGCCCGGGCCUGGCUGGCCCGGGGGCCCUGUCUCCAUGGCUACGGGCGGCCUUCAGCGCUCCUGGUUGGCUCCUCUGUGACCACAGCCCCUCCACUGCCACACACCCCAACACAUAGAGACACAGCAUCAUGAAGGCAGAGGCUGCCUCGGGACGGCUCUGCCCCAGGGAGCGUGGGGCCAUCUGAGCCAAACAGAAUAGAGGGCUUGCACACAGCCCAGGAUGUGAGUUGAGCUCUGAAUGUCAAGACCAGUCCUGGACCUAUGACCACCCAGCUGGGAGGGAGCUGACAGAUGAGGAAACUGAGGCCCAGAGUGGUGCUGGAGGUCUCUGAGCCAGGAAUUGGCCCGUCGGGACUGGAAUGCAGGGCCCUGAGCCUGACAGCACUCUUCAGGAAGGGGCUAGAGCCCCGAGGGGUGAGGAAACUGAAGCUCUGAGAGCAGUAGCUCCCCUGAGCCGUGCAGCUGGAGAGUGCUGCGCCGACAGCAGAGCUGGGGCUCUUUGCAGGUGCACAGAGGAAGGGUUUGCUUCCCUUGCCGAGUUUCCUCAUGCUCACUUCCACCCCCAGCCCUCAGUCCCAUUUUCCACUGCUUUGGUCAGGGAGUGAGUCCCCUGAUGUCAUCUGAGGAUAUGAGGCAUCGCUAAAUCUGGCCAUCCCCUGAAGCACCCAGCCUCACCGACUUCCUGAAGCGUGGAUGAACGCUGCUGCCACAAAUGUGCUGUGACAACCGCUGACAAGGAGAGUGAGUGAUGUUUGUGCCAUCCUGCUGAGCACGAGGGAGCUGCUUGGGGAAGCCAGGGGCUGGGGCAUCUCAAUAGCACUGAGGGCAGCCUCGGGGGGGCUUCACAGCCCACCCACCCCCAGAUCACUGCUGAUUCUGGGAGAUGCAUGACAGAGCUUUCUGACCUUGCACGUCCCUUUGGCUGCUAAACUGAAUGAAGCCUCCUUCUUAGACCCAACCCCCUGCUGAGUGUCUCUGUCUUCUGUUCUUUGCCAUCCCUGCCCCCAAACCUGGAACCUUCCUCUGCACCUCCACAUGCAGUGGGUGCCAAAUGUCUCCCACCUACCUGCCUGGGUCUCUGCCCCUCAGCUUCUCACAAGUGGCUGUGUUCUUCCACUCACCUGCUGGGACACACACUGGCUCACCAGCCCCCAUCCUCUCCACACCGUCUCACCUGCCUGGCUCACCUUCUUCCCCGUCACCUGCAGACAGGUCAUUUCCCAGACAUACCUGCCCUACUCCAACUAGUUGGCAUGGUGAGGCCGUCACUCCCUUCUCUCCAGGGUCCCAUGUGCUCUCCAGGCACAAAUUCACCCAGACAUUUCUUGAUCUAGCUCUGUCCCAGAAAGCGUUACCUUUGCAAUGGCAAAUACCUGUAUUAACUGCCGUGCAAAUGACACAUACUUAUCAUGUGCUUGCCUGUUCCAGGCACCGAUGGCUGUCUUUUUUAUUUUGUGUCAGGUUCCAGUGAGUGAGUCUGACUUAUGGUUGUAUAGACUUAGCUCACAUCCUCCUUCCUCCACCUUGACAAUCGCGCUAAUGACAAAGUUGUCAUUUACUGAGCACUUGCCAUGUACCAAUCACUGUGCCAGGAGAUUUACCUGCAUGGGCUCACAAAAUCUUUGCAAUAUUCGUGAAAGAGAGGCAAGUAUGUUCCUCUAUUUUGUAGAUGAGAAAACUGGCUCAGAAAAUGAAGUCAUUUUGCCCCAGGUCACCCAACCAGCGAGUGGCAGAACUAUGUUUAAAAGUCAGGAUUAUCUAUUCCAGAGACCCUGUGCUGCCCACCAUGGCACACUGCUUCUCCAGUCAAAGAAAGGUAGCUUAAAGAUAUCUGCUUUCCAAAAUGCUUGAACAUUUGUUAGAAUAUGGAAGAAGAUAAUAUAUGGUCCUGUCCUUGAAGAAUUGAUACUCUAUUUGGGGAAACAAAGCAACUCACAUUGCCAGCCAAUAUUUAUUUAAAUUUCAUCUCAGAAAAAUAGCAAAAGAGAUUUUAUUUAACCUUUCAACAGUGAUUUUCUGAUUAUGUCUGUUUGAGUAUUCUGUAGGAUAGACAGCUAAGGCAGUCAUGGACUUAGUGGGGAAAAGUUCAGCAAUCCAUUAUUAAUGUCUGUUUGGGGUGCAAGCAUGGGUAGUGGAGGUAGAUGUGCCACCAAUUUCAUUUUUUCUAUAUAGGAGAAAACAUGAGAGUUUCUAAUAAAUUCCUAACUAUAUAAAGCAGACAAGAGAGGAAAGAGAAAGAUACCUGUGUGAUUGGGAGAGGCUGCCUGAGGAAGGUAAGAUAUGACCUGUUUGGGGUCAUUGUACCCCUGGGGUGUGAGGCAUCAUCAAGGCCAGAUUGAAUUUUCUAAGGUAUGAUAAAAAGUUUGGUUCUUCCAAGUGCCUUGGUUCCUCUUCUCUAAAAUGGCUAAUUCUGUCCAAUUAAGAUCUAGAAGGCCCUUUCUGAUGCCAAUGUUUCUAAAUAAAGAUAUCUAAUAAGAGUGGAACACUUCACAGCUCUCAACCUCCUCUCAGACCCCCUAACAAGCCCAUGAUGCAGCCAUUUUAGAGAUGAAAAACUGAGGACCAGAGAGCUGACACCCAUGUUAGCAGAAGUUAGUGGAACCCAGUUCUCUUAACUCUAACCAUUCUCUAAUCCAAAAGUAUAUUUACAGAUUUUCAAAUAAUUAGGAAAUGUUAAUAAUAUUUAGAAGCUCCUCAGAUGAUUCUAGUUUUCAGCCAUGGUUGAGAAUGUUGCUAAAAAGUAAGUUUUAUGGCUGAUUUCAGAGAAGGAAACAGAGGUUCAGAGUGGUUAAGCAACUUGUCCAAAGUCACACAGUCAGAACAUAGUGGAGUGGGAACUCCACGGAGGCAGCCUGACUGCUUAACCCAUGUGUCUAUUGUGCCCCAGGCACUGUCACAUAUUAUUUCAUUUAAUUCUCUCAACAACUUUAUUUUUUUUAACUCUGAAAACUAAUCCAGAAAAGUUAAAUAACCAGCCCAAAAUUGCAGAGCUAAUAAAAGGCAGCUAACAAUGUU